rnacentral:rRNA from 1 species
UACGGGGGGGGCAAGCGUUGUUCGGAAUUACUGGGCGUAAAGGGCUCGUAGGCGGCCAACUAAGUCAGACGUGAAAUCCCUCGGCUUAACCGGGGAACUGCGUCUGAUACUGGAUGGCUUGAGUUUGGGAGAGGGAUGCGGAAUUCCAGGUGUAGCGGUGAAAUGCGUAGAUAUCAGGAGGAACACCGAUGGCGAAGGCAGUUCUCUGGGCCGUAACUGACGCUGAGGAGCGAAAGCGUGGGGAGCGAACAGG